rnacentral:rRNA from 1 species
CUUGAUAAAAUGGGUGAAAAACCCAUUCGCCGGAAGCCCAAGGUUUCCUGUCCAAGGAUCAUUCGGGCAGGGUUAGUCGGUCCCUAAGGCGUAGCCGAAAGGUGAAGUCGAUGGGAAACGGGUUAAUAUUCCCGUACCACCAGUUGGGAGCAGAGCAGGGACGGAGAAGGGUAGGUCAGCCGGGCGCUGGUUGUUCCGGUGUAAGCCAGUAGAUGGCGUUCGUAGGAACAAAACGCGGACGUAACGUCGAGAGGUGAUGCCGUGGUCUUCGGACCGAAGUGACUGAUCCCAUGCUUCCAAGAAAAGCUGCGGUCUGUAUUGAUCAACUGGUGACCGUACCGCAAGCCGACUCAGGUGGGCAGGUGGAGAACACCAAGGCGCUUGAGAGAACUCGGGUUAAGGAACUAGUCAAAUUGACACCGUAACUUCGGGAUAAGGUGUGCCACUGUCAUGUGGAGGGAUUCACUCCCCGAGCAGAGAGUGGUUGCAACAAAGCGGCGGUAGCGACUGUUUACCAAAAACACAGGCCUCUGCAAAGCCGUAAGGCGACGUAUAGGGGCUGACGCCUGCCCGGUGCCGGAAGGUUAAGGGGAGUGGUUAGCGCAAGCGAAGCUACGAACCGAAGCCCCGGUAAACGGCGGCCGUAACUAUAACGGUCCUAAGGUAGCGAAAUUCCUUGUCGGGUAAGUUCCGACCUGCACGAAAGGCGUAACGACUUCCGCGCUGUCUCAACCCGGGACUCAGCGAAAUUGACAUUGGGGUGAAGAUGCCCCAUACCCGUGGCAAGACGGAAAGACCCUGUGAACCUUUACUCUAACUUGGCAGUGGCAUUCGGUUCAGCUUGUGUAGGAUAGGUGGGAGGCUGCGAAGUUGGGGCGCUAGUCCUGAUGGAGCCAACCUUGAAAUACCACCCUGGUUGUGCUGAAUGCCUAACCCGCUUCGCGGGGACACUGUCUGGUGGGGAGUUUGACUGGGGCGGUCGCCUCCCAAAUUGUAACGGAGGCGCGCAAUGGUUCCCUCAGCCUGAUUGGAAACCAGGCGCAGAGUGCAAUGGCAUAAGGGAGCUUGACUGCAAGACCGACAGGUCAAGCAGGUGCGAAAGCAGGCCAUAGUGAUCCGGCGGUUCCGUAUGGAAGGGCCGUCGCUCAUCGAAUAAAAGGUACUCCGGGGAUAACAGGCUGAUCACGCCCAAGAGUUCACAUCGACGGCGUGGUUUGGCACCUCGAUGUCGGCUCAUCGCAUCCUGGGGCUGGAGCAGGUCCCAAGGGUUUGGCUGUUCGCCAAUUAAAGCGGUACGCGAGCUGGGUUCGAACGUCGUGAGACCGUUC